rnacentral:tRNA from 1 species
GCCUGGAUGGCUCAGUUGGUAGAGCGUCAGACUCUUAAUCUUGCGUUGUGGGUUCGAGCCCAAUACUGGGUG